GUAAAAUAGUAUUUACUGUUUGUUUCUGCCUCUGCCUCUUUGAGCAUAAACCCAGUGUGCAUCUGACCAGUGGCUCCUCAUCUUUGGCUCUGAGUUCAUCUCCACAAGAUUCCACAACAGUUUUGGGGGCUCGUCCGGGAUUCUACCUACAUCAGGGAGACAGGGAGAGGGAGAGAGAAGAAACAAAGGCUCAUGGGAAAGAGCACAAGGCCUCCACCAGCCCAGGCUGCACUAAUUGACGACUGCAGGGAGUGAAAGACGAGAGAAUCUCCAUGCUGUGAAGCAGCAACGCUGACCAUCCUGACACUAGAGCACUGCUUUAUAAAGGUAGAAUCCCCAUCUUUGUGAAUCCAU
rnacentral:lncRNA from 1 species